AACUCCUGACCUCAGGUGAUCCACCUGCCUCGGCCUCCCAAAGUGCUGGGAUUACAGGCGUGAGCCACCAUGCUUAAUUUUGGGAAAGUUUCAUUUUUAGUCCCACAGUCAGAAAAGUAAGGAAAUGAGGAAGCUUUAAUUUGAAAACUCAUUUAAUACAAGAAGUCAAGAUAUUUUGUAAUAUCUGUCUUCUAAAAUCACUUUAAAAUUUUAUUUUUAACUCACAAGAUUUAUUUUUUGGGGCUGGGCGUAGUGGCUCACCUUGUAAUCCCAGCACUUUGGGAGGCCAAGGCAGGAGGCUCACCCGAGCCCAGGAGUUCAAGACCAGCUUGGGCAACACAGCAAGACCCCAUCUCUACAAAGAUUUUUAAAAUUAGCUGGGCAUGGUGGCACAUGCCUGUAGUCCCAGCUACUUGGGAGGCUGAGAUGAGAGGAUCCCUUGAGCCCCAGGAGUUCAAGGUGGCAGUGAGCUAUGAUCAUGCCAUCACACUCCAACCUCAGUGAUCCUGUCUCAAAAAAAAAAAAAUUUGGCUUCUACAUUUAGUAUCUCUAUAUUCAUUUUAAUUAUUUUCUCACAUAGCGUGACUUUCCUGCCUCUCUCCCUUCCGCCCCUGUCACCCCAGAAUCUCUCAGUGGUAGGAGAAAGAAGGGGAACAUUCCUCUUUGUUAUUUCACCCAUCUUUCCUUCUCAUGCACCCUACAGCCAAGGACUCUUGAGUCCAGGAAAUGAUAGCUGGAAAAUCUGAAAAAGUGAAGCCCUUGGCCCUCACUUGCAUCAAAGUUUUUCCAAUUCCUUGAACCUCACUGGAGUUGUGUGGAAAUAUUGAGUGCUAUCAGAAAGAGGGGAGGCCGGGCACGGUGGCUCACGCCUGUAAUCCCAGCAUUUUGGGAGGCCGAGGCAGGAGGAUCACCUGAGGUCGGGAGUUCGAGACCAGCCUGACCAAAAUGGAGAAACCCCGUCUCUACUAAAAAUACAAAAUUAGCCAGGUGUGGUGGCACCUGCCUGUAAUCCCAGCUACUCGGGAGGCUGAGGCAGGAGAAUCACUUGAACCCAGGAGGCAGAGAUUGCGAUGAGCCGAGAUCACACCAUUGCACUCCAGCUUGGGUGAAAGAGCGAGACUCCUCCAUCUCAAAAAAACAAAAACAAAACAAACAAAACAAACAAACAAAAACAGAAAAGAAAAAGCUAUCCUGACAUUUGCACACACAUCUCAUGUUGCAUCAAGACUCAGUGAUUGGCCGGGUGUGGUGGCUCACAUCUGUAAUCCCAGCAUUUUGGGAAGCCAAGGCGGAAGGAUUGCUUGAGCCUAGGAGUUCAAGACCAUCCUGGGCAACAGCAAGACCCUGUCUCUAUUUAAAAUAACUAUAAUAAUUUUUGUAAAGGCUCAGUUAUCUCAGAGGAGUCCCAAUUUUUAAAAAACCUGAAUGAGAAUGCUCCUGACUAACACCUGUGGGGAAGAUUCUUUCCACUAAAAGGAUUUACUUCUUUUCUCCAACUUACUCUGUGAGCUCCAAAAACACCCAUAAUUCCCCAUGUGCUGCAGUGUCUUCAGUCAUCACAGAGGAAAAAUCCUAUAGCCACUUCUCCCCAGCCACUGCAAAUGACAAACGCUGCAUGGGGACUUAACAGGAUAGUGUCUCUCUUCUUCACCCCUGGAAGUUGGGCGGGGAGGCCUCUGGCUACCCUCUGACAUCCCUCAGUUGCAAAAGUGGACCAUGGAGAGAAGGCAGAGCCCUGUGUGACAGGAGCAGAGGAUCUGGGGGAGGGAAGGGCCCAACACCCCAAGCCUGUGCCCUCUGACUCAAGAGAUGUGCUGAUGGACAUAAAUGGGGCCGGUAACAGGGAAGGCAAAUUAAGUUCAAAAAUAUAGACAGCUAUGACUGCACCACUGCACUCCAGCCCGGGCGACAAAGCACGACCCUGAGAAAAUUUUAUUCUCUAAAAAUAAAAUUUUAAAAUAAAUUUAUAGAUAUAUAUAUAUAAUAUAAAUAAAAAAUACAUAUAUAUAAAACUGUAAGGAAAGAGUAGGGCUUGCAGCAAGGCCUGGGGUCAGGGCUCAGUGCAUAGGCUCUAUUGCUGGUGAUGGGGUAGCUGGUUUGGGCCCAGCCCCUGGCUGGUAGGGGAGGCUGUUGGAAGAGAGCAAAGACCUCUUCCAGGCAGUGCUACAGAGGUCAGGAGGCAGAACUAACGGUGGGAUAUUCUGGGAAGCCAGGAGGGCUGGGGAUGAAGGUCUGACCAGGUGCUUACAAAGGGGCCCUGAAUCUCUGUGCUACCAACUUAAUUUCCUGAAAUGUCACUAAAGAACCAACAUUAUUGGCAGCCAGCCCAGCCCAUGUGACCCAAUGUUAUUUAAAAAGAAAAAGAAAAAUGUAGCAGAACCACUGUUACCUUUCUAGGAGUUACAGACAUCCAACUUCAAAAUGGAAAGACCCUCAUUGCUAUUGAGGGUGAGAUACCACGCAUGAAACCCACGUGGACUGCAACUCAAAGUGUGGUCCUUGGCCCCGCAACAUUUGUCAGAAAGGCAGAAUUCUCACAGGGCCAGGACUAGGGUGGCACAGGUGAGGCAUCCCGGGCACAGCAUUUAAGGAGGCCCUCACUGUCAGGGUCGUACAGGGCACCUCCUCGGCUCACCCUAAUCCCAGCUCUGAGGUCCACCCAGACCUUUCUGAGUCAGAGUCUGCCUUUUAACAAGACUCUCAGCGAUAUGUGUGCCCAGAGAAGUGUAAGAAGCUCUGGCCUUAGAGAUGUAGCAUUGAUUUGGCAGGGAGGAUACCAGACACCAGAGGAAUUGUCAAGAAAGAGUGUAGAUGCCAUAAAUUCUGCCAGCCAGUGUACUGAGUUAAUGGUGUCCCCCCACAUUCACAUCUGCAGAGAACCUGAGAAUGUGACCUUAUGUGAAAAUAGGGUCUUUGCAGAAGUAAUCAAGUAAAGAUGACGUCAUACUGGAUUAAGGUGAGUCCUAAAUUCAAUAUGACUGGUGUCCUUAAAAAAAGGAAAAGGUAGGCUGGGGGCAGUGGCUCAUGCCUGUAAUCCCAGCACUUUGGGAGGCUGAGGCAGGCAGAGCACCUGAGGUCAGGAGUUCGAGGCCAGGCUGACCAACAUGGUGAAACCCCAUCUCUACUAAAAGUACAAAACUUAGCCAGGCAUGGUGAUGGGCGCCUGUAAUCCCAGCUACUGGGAGGCUGAGGCAGGGGAAUCACUUGAACCUGGGAGGCAGAGGUUGCAGUGAGCCAAGACCGUGCCAUUGCACUCCAGCCUGGGCAACAAGAACAGAACUCUGUCUUAAACAAACAAACUAACAAAGGAAAAGAGCAGGAAAGGCCAUGUGAUGAUGGAGACAGAGACAGGGGUGAUGCAGGUGCAGGCCAAGGAGUCCCAAAGACAGCCAGCAAACACCAGCAGCCAGGAAGAGGCAAGGACGGAUUCCUCCCUGCGCCCUUCAGAGACAGCAUGGCCCUGCCGCCAUCUUGAUUUUGGACUUCUAGGCUCCAGAACUGUGGGAGAAUAAAUUUCUGUUUCAAGCCAUAAGGCUUAUGGUAAUUUUGUUACACCAGUUCUAGGAAAAUAAUGCAGCCAGAAUCUUCACAUCUUUAAAAAUGGGGAUGCUACCUUUCCACUCUAUCACUGGAAGAAAUGUAUGAGAGAAUGAUGCAAAAAUGCUUUUAAAACCAUAAUAUGCAAUACAAAUGUAAAGUAUUAUUUUUAACAAGAACAUAUUUUUAAUUAGAAAAAUAGUUUAUCCGCUUAUUUUCAAAUAAGUGUGAUGGUUUGUGUGACAGUUUGGAUCAUUGUUCAGCAAAUAUUUUCUCCCCUCUCCUCUCAUACCAUGGGUAGCAUAUACUACCUGCCCGCUUACUGUUGGGCUUGGCCGUUUGACUUCCUUUGGCCCAGAGGCUGCCACUGUGCUUUUGCAAUCCUUUUGCACUCCUGCCUCCACUGUGAGAACAGGAUUCCCCAGGUCAUCACCUGAGCCACUGAAUGGAAUCCAUGCAGCAGAUCUAAAUGGAGUCCACAGCCUGGAGCCAAGCUGAGCUAGAUCAGCUGACCCACAGACAAUUUGUGUGGGAACAAAUUCUUGUUAUUGUAAAACACUGAGUUCUGGAGCAGUGUGUUAAGCAGCAUCAUUGUGGAAUAGCUGACUAAUGCAGGAUGAGAUAUCCCCAAAAAGGAGAAUAAGAAAUCUAUCCCAUUCUAGCGGUAUCCUAAGACACAGCUGAUGGCAUUUCAGAGUGUGUCUUUCUCAUCUUUAUACCAUCCUGUCACCUGGUUUUUGUUUUUGUAUUUUAAUAAGCUAUCUAUUAAGCCAUUUGAAACUCAUGGAAAUUGGCCAGGCACAGUGGCUCACACCUGUAAUCCCAGCACUUUGGGAGGCCAAGGCAGGUGGAUCACCUGAGGUCAGGAGUUCAAGAUCAGCCUGACCAACAUGGAGAAACCCCAUCUCUACUAAAAAUACAAAAAUUAGCCAGGCGAGGUGGAGCGCGCCUGUAAUCCCAGCUACUCGGGAGGCUGAGACAGGAGAAUCACUUGAACCUGGGAGGCGGAGGUUGCAGUGAGCUGAGACCAUGCCAUUGUAGUCCUCCAUUGAUUACAGUCCAUCUCCACCACAAUCAGGUCAAGAUAUAUCCCCCACUCAGGUGUAAUAAUCUGGGACCUUUGUAUCAUGCAUGUGUUUUCUUCAGAGACUCCGGUGUCUCUCUGCCAACACAACCCCAUUAUUCUGGCCAUGCCAUCAGGUUAAAUAAUUUGCUGAAUUUCAGGGUAGGUUGACAGGUUGCCAUAGCAGUCAAAUAGGCCCCAGGAGCAACAGGGAUACCAAAAGGGUAAGUGGCUUUGCAAACCAAUGACAGAGCAAGUGAAAUCAGCUCCCACCUCUCCAAAAAGCAGUCUCAACAAUAAUAUAGCAAACAUUUACGUGGCUAAAAGAAUUAGAAAGCUCGUGUGUAUUAAGGGCUAUCACUUUUGUCUCCUAUGAGUUCUCUCAAUUCAUCCCCUAGGUGAGGAAGGUAUUAUCAGCCCAUUGUACGAAGUAGAAAACAUGCAGUGGUGCACCGUUAAAUGUUUACAACUCUGUGGACUGGGGAAACACUGAUUUGCCAAUUCCCAUGGUGUAAAGAUUCCCACCACAGCCAACAUGAUGUCAGUGAACACAGAGUUGGGAAGAAAUGCGAACAUCCGUCUUUCCAGUGGGGAUAAACCAGCUCCAGCACACAUCGGAACUGUGCACAGAGAGGUCAAGCGACUUGUCAAAGUCACUCAGCUAGUAUGUGGGAAGCAAGGAUUUGUAUGAAAAUCUUCUGACUUGAGCGUGCUCCUCAACACUACUCUUGAUUUCCCAUGAGAAUGGCAAGGCCUCCGGAGCCAAGGACCCUAGAUAGUCUUUACUCGUGACAAUGUCCUUGAGUUGAUUUUUCUCAGAACAUGUUUGAGUAAGACCUACAGAACUCCAUAGACACUUUUUUCUUCCAAUUACUUUACACUAGGUUUCAAAUGCCAAAAUAGUGAAAAUUUCUGCUAAAAAGUUCUCAGAUUCCCACUGUUGGUCCAAUGUAACGUUUGCGUGCAAAUCUGGGUGAGAGGUGGAGUUAAGAAGGGGAGGAAAGAGUUCUGCCUUUUUCCCAACAAAGACGACACCAAACCAGAGGACUUUCCACCCCUACGACUGGUUGGCCCAACUCUCACUAGUGUGUGGCAAUCGUUGGUGCCAAGUCCUACCAGAGAGAGGUGACUUUUCCUAAGGGACUGAGUUCUGUUUCUAGAGGCUGCAACAAAUGUCUUUACCCUGACCUUUUCCUCCUUUUAUAAGGUUCUUUUAAUCGGGUAGACAUCAGGAGAGCAAACAGGCAGCCAACACUUGGCAAGAACCUGCUGAAUCCAUUGCAUGUAACUCAAGCAAAGUUCACCCUUUUAAGAUAAGGGGCUGCACAUGUUACUGUGUGUUGGGGUAAGAAACAUACAUGGGCACAGUUGGUCAGAUAUGAGACCACAGGGAUUUGUGAGGCAUGCCCUUAGUAUUCAUGAUUAUGGUUUUUGUUUUGUUUUGUUUGAGAUGGGGUCUCAUUCUGUCACCCAGGCUGGAGUGCAGUAGUGCCAUCUCAGCUCACUGCAACCUCCACCUCCUACGCUCAAGCGGUCCUCCCACCUCAGCCUCCCAAGUGGCUGAGACCACAGGCACGCACCACCCACCUGGCUAAUUUUUUGUGUUUUUGGUAGAGACAGGGUUUCGCCAUGUUGCCCAGACUGGUCUUGAACUCCUGAGCUCAGGAGAUCCACUGGCCUCAGCCUCCCAAGGUGCUAGGGUUAUAGGCAUGAGCCACCACACCCGGCCAUUUAUAUAUGGCAUAAGCCACUAUGCCAUACCUAAAAUCAGCUGCCGCAGAACUAAAAUGAGCAGAUUGCAAUUGUGGCCAACACCAUUUUUUACCCAAAACCAUUUUCCCAUCUUCCUUGCUAACAGAACUUGAUUUGGGCUGAAUCAAUGUGUCCAAAUCAGUGAUAGAUCUACACUGGUCUAUGCCAAUUAUGACAAUCUUAUUCCCUAACUGAUCAGCUUCCUUUGUAGGUUGGCGGGGCCGGGGAGGGGCCAUGGGAUCCAAUUCUGACCAAUGAGGCCUAAGGGGAAGUAUGCUGUGGAGAUUUCUGGGAAAGUUUUUUUCUAUCCUAACAAAAGGGAAAGUCAGCUGGCUUCACCCUUCACCUUCCUAUUCUUCCUGCCUUGAAUGUGGAUGUGGCUUUUUGUUAUGUAAGAAAAAUAAAUGAAUGUAUUUAAGCCAUUGUUAGGUAGGGUUUCUGUAUCUCAUAGCUGAACGCAUUUCUAACUGAUAGUGGUGGGCAAUGAACAAGUGAAUUUUACAGUAAUGGAGCAGAGGGUCAAGUUGACCCUACAAUCUUUAGUUUGACUAAUUGAAUGACUGGAAACCCAAUUGGUAGAUAAACAUAAAGAGUGUCAGAAGGAGGAGAGGUCAGAGCACAUAGAUAAGUUUUAUUUGGGUGACUCUAAGACCUCAGUCUUGCCUGACAUAAUGGGAUUCUGUGACGCAUGUGUGUGGACCUUUGCAAUGGAGCUGCUCAGAACAUCCUUGGAACCCCCCUUUGGAAAUUCUCAGCAAAGCCUGAUUCACCUUCUCUGUAAUUUCCUCACUGUCGAUGAUUUUUCAGUACUUUCAUGGGGGGUUGAUUUUUGGAAAUAUCUGAGACUAAGUAAGGUGCAUUAUGAGAUUAGGAUAAAUAAAAUAUUUGGGUGAGUGAUUUAAUAAAUAAACAUAAUCCUGAUAAUUGUAGAGUGUGUGUGUGUGUGUGUGUGUGUGUGCGUGUAUCAGAAACUCCUCCUGAAAGCAAUUCCAGAACAUGAAUUACAAACAUGUUUUUAACACUGGAAGCAUCAUUUGCAAAAAGAUUUCACUUACUAAGUAAUUUUGCUGAAGACUCACUUUUGCCAAAUAAUCUUUUUUAUCUCUCUUAAAAGUUGGCAAUCCAAACAUUGUCUCAAGUAAAACAAGCAAGUAUUCUCCAUGUUCUCAAUACUCCUCCCUCAGAAAUGGUCUCAGAGUUCUCAUCUUGGGUCCUUUAUCAGAUUUACUUUAUGAAAUUGAAUAUAAUUUCUGCAGCAAUAAAAUGGAAAUAAUAGCAUUUGCCUCCCUCCUAAAGAAAUGUGGUGAACAAGAGUUGGUCAGCAACAUCUAGAAUCUGGAGUAUCUCUCAUGGGUUCCAUAAAUACUUGGCAUAAUUAAUAAUUGCUAGUAAAGAGAUUGUGUUAUUAAUAUAUUACUGAGGAUUAAUAAUCAUGUAUUAUAAUCUUUCCAGAAAUGACAAAAUGUCAUCACUAUUAAAAUCUGCUUCAAAAAAAUACCUAAUGUUCCAAUUCUCCGAGAUUACUGUCCUACCCUCUUUUCUUCUCAACCCUCCACAUCCGCCCCUCAGCUGUUGAGCUCACCUGCACAUUAUCGAGCAGCAUGAAGUUAUCAUAUGGGAACAGCCUCAUCUUUUCACUGUGCACCUGUCCUCGCCAUAUCUUAUUUCCUUCUGUUUCAGUGAGGAGUGCCUUCAGAGUAUUAUCCCCUUGUGGCCUCUGAAGGACUUUAUUCCUGCAGUUUCCUCUUCUCUCUUCUGCAUCAUUCACCUCUCCCCACUCCCCAGUGCCUUCUCAUCUAAUCUGUAAACAUGUUCUGUAUCUGUGGGGGGGUUUAAACAUGGCUGCAAAUUCCUUGACAGUCUUCCCAUCAAGAGGGAGGAUCUGGCAGGGCACGGUGGCUCAUGCCUGUAAAGCCAGCACUUUGGGAGGCCGAGGCGGGAGGAUCACUUGAGGUCAGGAGUUCGAGCCCAGCCUGGCCAACAUGGCAAAACCCUGUCUCUACUAAAAAUACAAAAAAUUAGCUGGGCAUGGUGGCGUGCACCUGUAAUCCCAGCUACGAGGGAGGCUUAGGUGGGAGAAUCGUUUGAACCCGGGAGGCUGAGGUUGCAGUGAGCCAAGAUUGCACCACUGCACUCCAGACUGGGUGACAGAGCAAGACUCUGUCAAAAAAAAAAAAAAAGGAGGUAUCUACGUCCCCACUAAUUAAAUCUGGGGCGGGGGGGUUGUGGCUAGAUUGACCAAUAGAGUACAGCAAAAGGGAUACUAUGUGACCUCCAUGCAUAGGUCAUGAAAGGCCAAGCAGCAUCUGUCCUGUGCUGGAGCACUCCCUCACAGAGCCCUGAGACCACUUUGCAAGAACUUCAAUUACCCUGAGGCCGCCAUGCUAGAGAAGUCACAUGUCUGCACUCCAGUCGAUAGUCCUGGUGGAGCCUAGCCUUCUAGUCAUCCCCAUCAAGGUGCCAGGCAUGUGAGUGAAGCCACCUUAAACCCUCAAACCAGCCCUUUCAACAGCUGACUACCAGCAGUGACCCCAGUCAAUGCUGCAAGGAGCAAAACAAUCAUCUAGGGGGGCGAUAACCAAAUUCCUAACCCACAAAAUAACGGAAUCAAAUACAGCAGGUCCUCAAAUCAUAUUGUUUUAUUCAAUAUCAUUUUCUUAUAAUGUGGAUGAGAAAAAAAAGUUGGUCUACUGUCUCUGUGAAGUUUGCAGGUUCUCCCCAUGUCUACGUGGGUUUUCUCCAGGCAUUCUGGUUUCCUUUCACGUCUCAAAGCUGUGUAUAUCAAGUUCAUUGGCGUGUCUGCAUGGUUCAAGUCUGAGUGAGUGUGUAUGCGUGUCUGAACGCACCCUGCAAUGGGAUGGCGUCCUGCCCAGGGCUGGUUCCAGCCUUGCACCCUGAGCUGCUAGGAUAGGCUCUGGCCACCUGCUACCCUGAACUGGAAUAAGCAGGUAAAUAAUGACCUUUUUAUUCAUCUUUCUUAAAUAUAAAAUAUAUGUAUAGCUCACAUUUAUUUUAUUUAUUUAUUUUGAGACGGAGUCUUGCCCUGUCACCCGGGCUGGAGUGCCGUGGCACGAUCUUGGCUCACUGCAACCUCCGCCUCCCAGGUUCAAGUGAUUCUCCUGCCUCAGCCUCCCAAGUAGCCAGGAUUACAGGCGCAUGCCACCACGCCCAGUCGUGUGAAGAUGGUUGCUCCGCCUUUGCCUUCCACCUUGAGUAAAAGCUCCCUGAGGCCUCCUCAGUCAUGCUUCCUGUACAGCCUGUGGAAUGAUGAGCCAACUAAACCUUUUUCUUUGUAAAUUACCCAGUCUCAGAAUGAGAGCUCCUUGAGAGGAGGGACUAUGCCUGCUCUGGCAUUGAGAACAGUAUCUAGCACAGAGCGGCAUUCAACGUGAUGAGUGAAUGAAUAAAUGAACCAAUGAAUGUGACACUGCAAUCAAGGCCUGUGUCAGUCCAAAUAAACAGGUUAUGCUGUGGUAACAAGCAACCGAAAACCACAAAGAUUUAUUUCUCAUACUAUCUAUGCAAUGUGAUCAGCCCUGGGGGAGCUCGGGUCUUCCUAGGGAUCCAGGAUGAUGGAGCAGCCACCAUCAAAUAGUGGCAACUGGCAUGCCAGUGAGGAAGACACAGCUCUGGAGGGCCUCAUACUAACAAUUGGAUGGCAUUGUCUGGAAGUGACACACAUCACCUCCUGUUGCAAAUCAUUGGCCAGAACAAAAUGUGGAAACAUGGCCCCACCCACCCACAAAGGGCCAGGCAGUACAAUCCUACCAGUAGCCAAAAGAGGCAAAACCUGAACUAUAUGGCCAAUAGCCCUGAUGACUACCACAGAGCCUUUCACAGAAUGACCCCAAAUAACCUUUCCAAUCUCUCCUCCCUACACUCCUCCUCCAUGGCCCCUACCAUCCUCCCACCCUCCCACCAUACUGAACUACCUAUUUGCUCAACACACCACACCUUGUCAAGCCUCCAUUUCUUUCACAUACUGGGCCCUCUGCCUGGGAUGCUCUUAAAAGAUAACCACUAUUCUGACCGUUGAUUCAGAACGGGAAUUCCCUCUGCCUGGGAUGCUGUUAAGAGGUAACCAUUAUUCUGACCAUUGAUUAGUUUUGCCUGUUCUUGAAUUUCAUAAAAAUAAACCCAUAUAGUAUGUACUCUUUUGUGUUUGGCUAAGAGAUUCAUCUGUGUUGUUAAGCAUGGCAUAGUUCAUUCUUUUUUGUGGCUGUAUAGUAACCCGUUGUAUGACUAUACCAUGAUUUACGUAUCAGUUUUUCUAUUGAUAGCCUUUUGGGUUGUUUCCAUUUUGGAGCAUUUAUAAAGUUGCUAUAAACAUUCUUUUGGUGGCUAUACACACUCAUUUCUCUUGAGUAUAAACCCAGGAGUGUAAUUUCUGAGUAAUAAGGUAGACAUAUGCCUAGCAUUCAUAGAUACUGCCAAGAAGUUUUCCAAAGUAGCUAUACCAUUUGACAUUCCCACCAGCAGCAUAUGAGUUCUAGCCAGGCACCAUUUAAGCCCAGGAGUUUGAGAUUAGCCUGGACAACAUAGUGAGACCCCCACCUCAAAAAAAGUUACAUUUGCUCCACAACCUUGGCAACAUUUGAUAUUGUCAAUCUUUUGAAUUUUGGCCAUUCUGGUGGGUGUACUAUAGUAUCUCAUUAUGGCUUAAAUUUGCAUUUCAGUGGUAAAUAAUGAUGUUGAGCAUAUGCUCUUAUACUUAUUGAACAGCAUGCAUUUUUUCAUUCAACAAAAUGUUACUGAACAUCCACAAUGCAGCUGCACGUUUCUAUAGCAAUGGGGAAUAAAUAACACUCGAGCUCCACAAGAUUCCAAAUCAUUGCUUUGUUUGUCAAGCACUUCUAUUUUUGAAAGAAUUUUCUUUAACAUAUUAGAAAUCUAAAUAAAUGCACAGACAAACCCUGACUGCUCUUCUGAAGAAAAUUCCAAAUAAGGAAAUGUAACUGAUCAGAAACAGGAGAAGGAGAGGGCACAGUCACACUCAUUCAUUCAGUAAAUCUGUCUCUCUCUCUCUCUCUUUUUUUUUUUUUUGUGAGACAGAGUUUUGCUCUUGUUAUCCAGCUGGAGCGCAACGGUGCAAUCUCAGCUCACUGCAACCUCCAUCUCCUGGGUUCAAGUGAUUCUCCUGCCUCAGCCUCCUGAGUAGAUGGGAUUACAGGCUGGGAACUGCUUGAGGGAAGGGUCCAAGCCUUGUUCAUCUCUGAGCCCCCGUGUUAUAUACUGAGCACCUGGGUCGUACACUACCAUGGUCUCAAGAUACAUGUGCUGAACUGCUAAGCCAAUUCAUUGACUUUACAGAUGAAAAAUAUGAGAUAGACAGAAGCUUAAGAACACAGACACUGUACCCAGAAAGAUGGUAGCGGUGUCGGACUGAGAAUCCAGCGUCUUGUGUCCCCGUUAAGGUCCUUUUCCUCUAGUAUGCUGCCUCUGGCUGUGGUAAAUUCCAGAAUAUAAUUUGUAAAUUUUCCUAUCCACUGUCCCAUCCCACUUCCUAAAGUCACAUGCAAAAUAAAUUGGCAGGUUAGAGUCUGAACUCACAUUUCUGUUUGAAUCUUUUCCACUAUGGAUUUUAAAAGGAUCUCAAAUGGUAUCUUCUAAAAUUCUAAGCAUUCUAUCAAUCCUCAUGCUGAAAUAUGACUUGGUGAGUGACACUUCAAAAAGAAAAUAAACAUGCGUCUCAACCCAUUACUACUUUAUUUCCUCCAGAUCAUUUCCUCACAGGCAGGGCAGCCACGUCAGUGAACCCACUCAG